rnacentral:lncRNA from 13 species
GCCGAUGGCGCCGAGCGCGCGUACGCGAGAAGCCAACUUCAAAUUCCGUCCUAACCUCUUUCGCGCGUUCAUUGAUUCUCGUCGCGAUUUAUGUGAACGCGAUCGGGCCGAGGUGCGAGUACUGAAUCGUGGGGUCGAAUAAACAGUAAAUACAAGUGAAAUGCUACGCAGCGAAGAACGACGCACGCCUGUGUGGCCGCCAUAUUGGCUUUUCGCCGCUUCAAGUAUCGCUCAAACGGCAACAAUCGGUCCGUCGAGCGCAAGGUCGUAAGCCGUGGCGCAUCUCAACUCGUAUCUUCGUCAUCCCGUCGGUCCCGUACGAGCUUCCGACGCGCGUGAGUAUCUCGAGUUUUCGACGCGCGUGUGAGUACCAGGAGCGUCGAAAGCGAGGUGUUGCGUGCAAUGCGUGUUCGUACCAAGCGUGUUCGUGCCAAGCGUGUUCGUGCCAAGCGUGAUUCAAGAGGAGGGUCUUGAAUCUCGAAUGUUCGAGAGCUGCGGCCAGCGGGGCGAACGUGUAUGUCCACGUUGUAGAAAUGGCAUCUCGAAAAAUCGUCAAUUGGGUCAGGUAUCAGCUGGAUAUCAUCUAAAUCGCGGUCAAGGUCAAAGCUUCUCUUUGCUACUGCUACUGUUGGUCACUGCAGACGUUUCUCUCGUAGCUUUUGCAGAAAAACUAGAGAGAACGAGAGAACAGAGUCUUUGUUAGGAUUCAAAUUUAUUUUGGACUAUUUUGAAAUUUGUCCAGAGGAUGUCCGAGGAUAUUAACGUGCUGUUUAUACGAGGAAAUGGAAGUCGGCUGUAGCCUCAGAUCUCAUUGCUGCGCCGAUGAAGACACCGUGUUGCCAAUUUCGAGCUUGAUAAACCAAAGGUACACCCUCGGGUCUUCGUCCUCCGAAUAAUAUAGCGUCAAUCGGAACGCCAGCUGGAUCUUCCCAAGCAGGAUCGAUAAUGGGACACUGAUUAGCCGGAGUACAGAAUCUUGAAUUUGGAUGAGCAGCUGGUAUUUUAGAACCUUUGAACCAAUCGUUGCCUCUCCAAUCCACCACCUAUAAUCAAGUAUUUAAAAAUAUUACAUAUCUUUGUAAGUAAUACUAGUACUAGUAUCUUUAAUAAUGCUACUAUAACUGUAAAGAUUGAAUUAAAAUGACGCAGAAAUAACAUGUAAUCUUUAAAAGUUAUUAAAGAAAUAUUUAAAGUUUUUCUACAA